rnacentral:rRNA from 1 species
AUUGAACGCUGGCGGCAGGCUUAACACAUGCAAGUCGAGCGGGGGAAGGUAGCUUGCUACUGGACCUAGCGGCGGACGGGUGAGUAAUGCUUAGGAAUCUGCCUAUUAGUGGGGGACAACAUCUCGAAAGGGAUGCUAAUACCGCAUACGUCCUACGGGAGAAAGCAGGGGAUCCUCGGACCUUGCGCUAAUAGAUGAGCCUAAGUCGGAUUAGCUAGUUGGUGGGGUAAAGGCCUACCAAGGCGACGAUCUGUAGCGGGUCUGAGAGGAUGAUCCGCCACACUGGGACUGAGACACGGCCCAGACUCCUACGGGAGGCAGCAGUGGGGAAUAUUGGACAAUGGGGGGAACCCUGAUCCAGCCAUGCCGCGUGUGUGAAGAAGGCCUUAUGGUUGUAAAGCACUUUAAGCGAGGAGGAGGCUCUUUUGGUUAAUACCCAAGAUGAGUGGACGUUACUCGCAGAAUAAGCACCUGCUAACUCUGUGCCAGCAGCCGCCGUAA